rnacentral:rRNA from 1 species
AUACGUAGGGGGCGAGCGUUGUCCGGAAUGAUUGGGCGUAAAGGGCGCGUAGGCGGCCCGGUAAGUCUGGAGUGAAAGUCCUGUUUUUAAGAUGGGAAUUGCUUUGGAUACUGUCGGGCUUGAGUGCAGGAGAGGUAAGUGGAAUUCCCAGUGUAGCGGUGAAAUGCGUAGAGAUUGGGAGGAACACCAGUGGCGAAGGCGGCUUACUGGACUGUAACUGACGCUGAGGCGCGAAAGUGUGGGGAGCAAACAGGAUUAGAUACCCUGGUAGUCCACACUGUAAACGAUGAAUGCUAGGUGUAGGGGGUAUCGACCCCUUCUGUGCCGCAGUCAACACAAUAAGCAUUCCGCCUGGGGAGUACGGCCGCAAGGUUGAAACUCAAAGGAAUUGACGGGG